GAAAUUCCUUGUCGGGUAAGUUCCGACCUGCACGAAUGGCGUAACGAUCUCCACACUGUCUCGGCCAGAGACUCGGUGAAAUUGCAGUCGCGGUGAAAAUUCCGUGUACCCGCAGAAAGACGGAAAGACCCUGUGCACCUUUACUAUAGCUUGACAUUGGAUUUUGGGCCUGCAUGUGUAGGAUAGGUGGGAGGCUGUGAACCCUGUACGCCAGUAUGGGGGGAGCCAUCCUUGAAAUACCACCCUUGCAUGUUUAAGAUCCUAACUUCUUCCGGUUAUCCCGGAGAAAGACAGUGUCUGGCGGGUAGUUUGACUGGGGCGGUCGCCUCCUAAAGUGUAACGGAGGCAUGCAAAGGUUCCCUCAGCCUGAUCGGAAACCAGGCGCUGAGUGCAAACGCAUAAGGGAGCUUGACUGUAAGAGAGACAUCUCGAACAGGAACGAAAGUUGGCGUUAGUGAUCCGGUGGUCCCGAAUGGAAGGGCCAUCGCUCAUUGGAUAAAAGGUACGCCGGGGAUAACAGGCUGAUCGCAUCCAAGAGUUCACAUCGACGAUGCGGUUUGGCACCUCGAUGUCGGCUCAUCACAUCCUGGGGCUGAAGCAGGUCCCAAGGGUACGGCUGUUCGCCGUUUAAAGUGGUACGCGAGCUGGGUUUAAAACGUCGUGAGACAGUUUGGUCCCUAUCUUCUGUGGGCGAAGGAGAAUUGAGAGGGCCUGUCCCUAGUACGAGAGGACCGGGAUGGACGCACCCCUGGUGAUCCUGUUGUCGCGCCAGCGGCAUAGCAGGGUAGCUAUGUGCGGAAGGGAUAACCGCUGAAAGCAUCUAAGCGGGAAGCCUGCCUCAAGAUAAGUUCUCCCCUCGAAAGAGCUGAAGGGCCCGGGUAGACUACCCGGUCGAUAGGCUGGAGGUGUAAGCGCGGCGACGUGCUCAGCUGACCAGUACUAAUAGCCCGAGCGGCUUAUUUUU
rnacentral:rRNA from 1 species